UUGGUGGUCUCUUCACACGGACGCGCAUGAAAUUUGGUGCCAUGACUCAGAUCAGGGGACCUCCCUUGGGAGAUCAAUCCCCUGUCCUCCUGUUCUUUGCUCCGUGAGAAAGAUGCACCUACGACCUCAGGUCCUCAGACCGACCAGCCCAAGGAACAUAUCACCAAUUUUAAAUCAGGUAAGCGGUCUCUUCUUACUCUCUUCUCCAACGUCUCUCACUGUCCCUCAACCACUUUCUCCUUUCCACUCUUCAAUCUCUCCCUUCUCUUAAUUUCAAUUCCUUUCAUUUUCUGGGAGAGACAAAGGAGACACGUUUUAUCCGUGGACCCAAAACUCCGGCGGCGGUCACGGACUGGGAAGGUAGCCUUCCCUUGGUGUUUAAUCAUUGCAGGGACGCCUCUGAUUAUUCACCCACGUUUCAAAGGUGUCAGACCACGCACGGACGCCUGCCUUGGUCCUUCACCCUUGGCGGCAAGUCUCGCUUUUCUGGGGAAGGGGCAAGUACCCCAACCCCUUCUCUCCUUGUCUCUACCCCUUCUCUGCUUUCCUGGGGCAGGGGCAAGUACCCCUCAACCUCUUCUUCACCCUUAGCUGCUAGUCCCGCUUUCCUAGGGGGCAAGAACCCCCCAAUCGCUUAUUUCCACGCCCCAACCUCUUAUCUCUGUGCCACAAUCGCUUAUUUCCGCGCCCCAACCUCUUAUCUCUGCGCCCCAAUUGCUUAUUUCCGCGCCCCAACCUCAUCUCUGCGCCCCAAUCCCUUAUUUCCGCGCCCCAACCUCUUAUCUCUGUGCCCCAAUCCCUUAUUUCCGUGCCCCAACACUUUCUCUGCUUUUCUGGAGGGCAAGAAACCCCCACCCCUUCUGCGUGUCUCUACUCUUUUCUCUGGGCUUGCCUCCUUCGCUAUGGGCAAGCUUCCACCUUCCAUUCCUCCUUCUUCUCCCUUAGCCUGUAUUCUUAAGAACUUAAAACCUCUUCAAUUCUCACCUGACCUAAAAUCUAAGCGCCUCAUUUUCUUCUGCAACACCGCUUGACCCCAAUACAAACUCGACAGUAGUUCCAAAUAGCCGGAAAACAGCACUUUCAAUUUUUCCAUCCUACAAGAUCUAAAUAAUUCUUGUCGUAAAAUGGGCAAAUGGUCUGAGGUGCCUGACGUCCAGGCAUUCUUUUACACAUCAGUCCCUUCCUAGUCUCUGUGCCCAGUGCAACUCGUCCCAAAUCUCCCGCCUGUCCCCUCAGUCCCAACCCCAAGCGUCGCUGAGUCUUUCUAAUCUUCCUUUUCUACAGACCCAUCUGACCUCUCCCUUCCUCCCCAGCCUGCUCCUUGCCAGGCCAAGCUAGGUCCCAAUUCUUCCUCAGCCUCUGCUCCUCCACCCUAUAAUCUUUUUAUCGCCUCCCCUCACACCUGAUCCGGCUUACAGUUUCGUUCCGUGACUAGCCCUCCCCCACCUGCCCAGCAAUUUACUCUUAAAAAGGUGGCUGGAGAGCUAAAGGCAUAGUCAAGGUUAAUGCUCCUUUUUCUUUAUCCCAAAUCAGAUAGCGUUUAGGCUCUUUUUCAUCAAAUAUAAAAAUCCAGCCCAGUUCAUGACUUGUUUGGCAGCGACCCUGAGACGCUUUACAGCCCUAGACCCUAAAAGGUCAAAAGGCCGUCUUAUUCUCAAUAUACAUUUUAUUACCCAAUCUGCUCCCAACAUUAAAUAAAACUCCAAAAAUUGGAAUCUGGCCCUCAAACCCCACAACAGGACUUAAUUAACCUCACCUUCAAGGUGUGCAAUAACAGAAAAAAGUUGCAAUUCCUUGCCUCCACUGUGAGACAAUCCCCAGUCACAUCUCCAGCACACAAGAACUUCCAAACGCAACCAGGCGUUCCUCCGGAACCUCCUCCCCCAGGAGCUUGCUACACGCGCCGGAAAUCUGGCCACUGGGCCAAGGAAUGCCCGCAGCCCGGGAUUCCUCCUAAGCCGCGUCCCAUCUGUGCGGGACCCCACUGAAAAUCGGACUGUUCAACUCACCUGGCAGCCACUCCCAGAGCCCCUGGAACUCUGGCUCAAGGUUCUCUGACUGACUCCUUCUUGACUUACCGGCUGAAGACUGAUGCUGCCUGAUCGCCUCAGAAGCCCCGUAGACCAUCACGGAUGCCGAGCUUUAGGUAACUCUCACGGUGGAGGGUAAGUCCGUCCCCUUCUUAAUCAAUACGGAGGCUACCCACUCCACAUUACCUUCUUUUCAAGGGCCUGUUUCCCUUGCCUCCAUAACUGUUGUGGGUAUUGACGGCCAGGCUUCUAAACCUCUUAAAACUCCCCAACUCUGGUGCCAACUUAGACAAUACUCUUUUAAGCACUCCUUUUUAGUUAUCCCCACCUGCCCAGUUCCCUUAUUAGGCUGAGACACUUUAACUAAAUUAUCUGCUUCCCUGACUAUUCCUGGACUACAUCUAUAUCUCAUUGCCGCCCUUCUUCCCAAUCCAAAGCCUCCUUUGCGUCCUCCUCUUGUAUCCCCCCACCUUAGCCCACAAGUAUAAGAUACCUCUACUCCCUCCUUGGCGACCGAUCGUGCACCCCUUACCAUCUCAUUAAAACCUAAUCACCCUUACCCCACUCAACGCCAAUAUCCCAUCCCGCAGCACGCUUUAAAAGGAUUAAAGCCUGUUAUCACUCGCCUGCUACAGCAUGGCCUUUUAAAGCCUAUAAACUCUCCUUACAAUUCCCCUAUUUUACCUGUCCUAAAACCAGACAAGCCUUACAAGUUAGUUCAGGAUCUGCACCGUAUCAACCAAAUUGUUUUGCCUAUCCCCCCUGUGGGGCCCAACCCGUACACUCUUUUGUCCUCAAUACCUCCCUCCACAACUCACUAUUCCGUGCUUGAUCGUAAAGAUGCUUUCUUCACUAUUCCCCUGCACCCCUCGUCCCAGCCUCUCUUUGCUUUCACUUAGACUGACCCUGACACCCAUUAGGCUCAGCAAAUUACCUAGGCUGUACUACUGCAAGACUUCAUAGACAGCCCCCAUUACUUCAGUCAAGCCCAAAUUUCAUCCUCAUCUGUUACCUAUCUCGGCAUAAUUCUCAUAAAAACACACGUGCUUUCCCUGCUGAUCGUGUCCGAUUAAUCUCCCAAACCUCAAUCCCUUACAAAAUAACAACUCCUUUCCUUCCUAGGCAUGGUUAGUGCGGUCAGAAUUCUUACACAAGAGCCAGGACUGCGUCCUGCAGCCUUUCUGUCCAAACAACUUGACCUUACUGUUUUAGCCUAGCCCUCAUGUCUGCGUGCAGCGGCUGCCGCUGCUUUAAUACUUUUAGAGGCCCUAAAAAUCACAAACUAUGCUCAACUCACUCUCUACAUUUCUCAUAACUUCCAAAAUCUAUUUUCUUCCUCAUACCUGACGCAUAUACUUUCUGCUCCCCGGCUCCUUCAGCUGUACUCACUCUUUGUUAAGUCCCACAAUUACCAUUGUUCCUGGCCGGGACUUCAAUCUGGCCUCCCACAUUAUUCCUGAUACCACACCUGACCCCCAUGACUGUAUCUCUCUGAUCCACCUGAUACUCACCCCAUUUCCCCAUAUUUCCUUCUUUCCUGUUCCUCACCCUGAUCACGCUUGAUUUUUUGAUGGCAGUUCCACCAGGCCUAAUCGCCACACACCAGCAAAGCCAGGCUAUGCUAUAGUACAAGCCACUAGCCCACCUCUCAGAACCUCUCAUUUCCUUUCCAUCGUGGAAAUCUAUCCUCAAGGAAAUAACUUCUCAGUGUUUCAUCUGCUAUUCUACUACUCCUCAGGGAUUAUUCAGGCCCCCUCCCUUCCCUACACAUCAAGCUCCAGGAUUUGCCCCCACCCAGGACUGGCAAAUUAGCUUUACUCAACAUGCCCGAGUCAGGAAACUAAAAUACCUCUUAGUCUAAAUAGACACUUUCACUGAAUAAGUAAAGGCGUUUCCUACAGGGUCUGAGAAGGCCACCACAGUCAUUUCUUCCCUUCUGUCAGACAUAAUUCCUCAGUUUAGCCUUCCCACCUCUAUACAGUCUGAUAGCAGACCAGCCUUUAUUAGUCAAAUCAGCCAAUUAGUUUUUCAGGCUCUUAGUAUUCAGUGAAACCUUUAUAUCCCUUACGGUCCUCUAUCUUCAAGAAAAGUAGAACGGACUAAAGGUCUUUUAAAAACACACCUCACCAAGCUCAGCCACCAACUUAAAAAGGACUGGACAAUACUUUUACCACUUUCGCUUCUCAGAAUUCAGGCCUGUCCUCAGAAUGCUACAAGGUACAGCCCAUUUAAGCUCCUGUAUAGAUGCUCCUUUUUAUUAGGCCCCAGUCUCAUUCCAGACACCAGACCAACUUAGACUGUGCCCCCAAAAAAAACUUGUCAUCCCUACUAUCUUCUGUCUAGUCAUACUCCUAUUCUCCGUUCUCAACUACUCAUACAUGCCCUGCUCUUGUUUACACUGCCAGUUUACACUGUUUCUCCAAGCCAUCACAGCUGAUAUCUCCUCGUGCUAUCCCCAAACUGCCACUUUUAACUCUUGAAGUAAAUAAAUAAUCUUUGCUGGCAGGACUAUGCUGAAUCUCCUUAGGCACUCUCUAAUCAGAUGUCCUAGGUCCUCCCAAUUCUUAGACCUUUUAUACCUGUUUUUCUCCUUCUUAUUCCAUUUAGUUUUUCAAUUCAUACAAAACCAUAUCCAGGCCGUCACCAAUCAUUCUACACAACAAAUGUUUCUUCUAACAUCCCCACAAUAUCACCCCUUACCACGAGACCUCCCUUCAGCUUAAUCUCUCCCACUCUAGGUUCCCACGCCGCCCCUAAUCCCACUCGAAGCAGCCCUGAGAAACAUCGCCCAUUCUCUCUCCAUACCACCCCCCAAAAAUUUUCGUCGCCCCAACACUUCAACACUAUUUUGUUUUAUUUUUCUUAUUAAUAUAAGAAGGCAGGAAUGUCAGGCCUCUGAGCCCAAGCCAAGCCAUCGCAUCCCCUGUGACUUGCGCGUAUACGCCCAGAUGGCCUGAAGUAACUGAAGAAUCACAAAAGAAGUGAAAAGGCCCUGCCCCGCCUUAACUGAUGACAUUCCACCAUUGUGAUUUGUUCCUGCCCCACCUUAACUGAGUGAUUAACCCUGUAAAUUUCCUUCUUCUGGCUCAGAAGCUCCCGCACUGAGCACCUUGUGACCCCCGCCCCUGCCCACCAGAGAACAACCCCCUUUGCAUGUAAUUUUCCAUUACCUUCCCAAAUCCUAUAAAACGGCCCCAUCCCUACUCCCUUUGCUGACUCUCUUUUCGGACUCAUCCGGCCUGCACCCAGGUGAAAUAAACAGCCAUGUUGCUCACACAAAGCCUGUUUAGUGGUCUCUUCACACAGACGCGCAUGAAAGGGGCCCCAAGGAGAGGUCUCAUGUUCUCAUUCUGCCUCCUCCCAUUCCUCUUCAGAUUCAGUUUGGAAGAGGUCUUUUUGAGGUUGAAAACCUGCCAUUGAUCUUCUUCCGCUUCUUUUCUCUAUCUCAUUUUACUGGGUUUUGGUUUGUUUGAUUCUGUUCCUGGGCAAGUGACUUCCAUAUAUUGAUACUCUUAGAAAAACAUCUUUUUACUUCAAUCUUAAUACUUUUGUUUGGAUUUUAUUUCAUAGUUUUCUAGGAGGGCUGAGCUAAAACAUGUCCUGAACACCUGCUGGGUGCCAAGCAAUGUGCUCUGAGCUUCACUCUCUUGACCCAUGCACAAGAUACCUGCACUAGCUUGCCAGAUGAGAACUUCCAGAAGGCAGUUGAUGUUCAGUUUUAUGGGGUUUGCUGCUGUGUUUGUUACCAUGAGACACCAGCAGAAGAACCUCCCAGCUGAGCUAAACUCAGAACAAACAGCUGAACCAAAAAAUUAUGAACAAAGAGAAUGAUUGUUUUCUUCAGCCACUAAGUUUUGGGGUUGUUUGUUAUGCAGCAAACAAUAGCUGGUAAAUGGCUGGUAUGUGUAUACACGGAGGGUCACGGUGGUGUCUAAUCUAUACUCUCACCUUGUUGGGCCUCCCCAGCAAAUUCUGUCCUCUAGUCCUGUUUUUACCUAUUUGAAGUCUAGGCAAGGCCUCGUUGGGUCUUCCUUUGUCUCCAAGUCCCUAACCCUGAAUCAGCCAAGCUCUGCCUACACCCCAGCUCUAUCCUAUACCUUUUCCAAUUCCCAAAGCACUUACUUGAGAUGCGGAUGGGGUGGUGCUGGCUUCUUGGACUCUUCACCCUGCUGGGAGGUACUACGGCCCUGCACAGGGGGCCGGGGCUGUGAGGC
rnacentral:lncRNA from 10 species